rnacentral:rRNA from 1 species
AUACGUAGGGGGCGAGCGUUGUCCGGAAUGAUUGGGCGUAAAGGGCGCGUAGGCGGCCUGUUAAGUCUGGAGUGAAAGUCCUGUUUUCAAGAUGGGAAUUGCUUUGGAUACUGAUGGGCUUGAGUGCAGGAGAGGUUAUCGGAAUUCCCGGUGUAGCGGUGAAAUGCGUAGAGAUCGGGAGGAACACCAGUGGCGAAGGCGGGUAACUGGACUGCAACUGACGCUGAGGCGCGAAAGUGUGGGGAGCAAACAGGAUUAGAUACCCUGGUAGUCCACACGGUAAACGAUGAAUGCUAGGUGUAAGAGGUAUCGACCCCUUUUGUGCCGGAGUUAACACAAUAAGCAUUCCGCCUGGGGAGUACGGCCGCAAGGUUGAAACUCAAAUGAAUUGACGGGG